rnacentral:rRNA from 1 species
GAUCCUGGCUCAGGAUGAACGCUGGCUACAGGCUUAACACAUGCAAGUCGAGGGGAAACGACAUCGAAAGCUUGCUUUUGAUGGGCGUCGACCGGCGCACGGGUGAGUAACGCGUAUCCAACCUGCCCACCACUUGGAGAUAACCUUGCGAAAGUAAGACUAAUACCCAAUGAUAUCUCUAGAAGACAUCUGAAGGAAAUUAAAGAUUCAUCGGUGAUGGAUGGGGAUGCGU